UUGAUAACUAUUUAACAUUAC
rnacentral:piRNA from 1 species